UACAGAGGGGGCAAGCGUUAUUCGGAAUUAUUGGGCGUAAAGGGCUCGUAGGCGGUCUGUUGCGUCGGGGAGUGAAAACUUACAGCUUAACUGUGAGCGUGCUUUCGAUACGGGCAGACUUGAGGCAUUCAGGGGAGAACGGAAUUCCUGGUGUAGCGGUGAAAUGCGUAGAUAUCUGGAGGAAUACCGGUGGCGAAGGCGGCAUCCUGGACCGGCAUUGACGCUGAGGAGCGAAAGCCAGGGGAGCAAGCGGG
rnacentral:rRNA from 1 species